rnacentral:rRNA from 1 species
UACGGAGGAUGCAAGCGUUAUCCGGAUUUAUUGGGUUUAAAGGGUGCGUAGGCGGGAAGAUAAGUCAGUGGUGAAAUCCUGCAGCUUAACUGUAGAAUUGCCGUUGAUACUAUUUUCUUGAGUGUGGUCAAGGAAGGCGGAAUGUGUAAUGUAGCGGUGAAAUGCUUAGAUAUUACACAGAACACCGAUUGCGAAGGCAGCUUUCUUGGGCCGGUUACUGACGCUGAUGCACGAAAGCGUGGGGAUCGAACAGGAUUAGAUA